rnacentral:rRNA from 1 species
UGCAAGUCGAACGAUGAUGCCUCGCUUGCGGGGUGGAUUAGUGGCGAACGGGUGAGUAACACGUGAGUAACCUGCCCCUGACUCUGGGAUAAGCGCUGGAAACGGUGUCUAAUACUGGAUAUGAGCUCCUGCCGCAUGGUGGGGGUUGGAAAGAUUUUUUGGUUGGGGAUGGGCUCGCGGCCUAUCAGCUUGUUGGUGAGGUAAUGGCUUACCAAGGCGUCGACGGGUAGCCGGCCUGAGAGGGUGACCGGCCACACUGGGACUGAGACACGGCCCAGACUCCUACGGGAGGCAGCAGUGGGGAAUAUUGCACAAUGGGCGGAAGCCUGAUGCAGCAACGCCGCGUGAGGGAUGACGGCCUUCGGGUUGUAAACCUCUUUUAGCAAGGAAGAAGCGUGAGUGACGGUACUUGCAGAAAAAGCGCCGGCUAACUACGUGCCAGCAGCCGCGGUAAUACGUAGGGCGCAAGCGUUAUCCGGAAUUAUUGGGCGUAAAGAGCUCGUAGGCGGUUUGUCGCGUCUGCUGUGAAAUCCCGAGGCUCAACUUCGGGUCUGCAGUGGGUACGGGCAGACUAGAGUGCGGUAGGGGAGAUUGGAAUUCCUGGUGUAGCGGUGGAAUGCGCAGAUAUCAGGAGGAACACCGAUGGCGAAGGCAGAUCUCUGGGCCGUAACUGACGCUGAGGAGCGAAAGGGUGGGGAGCAAACAGGCUUAGAUACCCUGGUAGUCCACCCCGUAAACGUUGGGAACUAGUUGUGGGGUCCUUUCCACGGAUUCCGUGACGCAGCUAACGCAUUAAGUUCCCCGCCUGGGGAGUACGGCCGCAAGGCUAAAACUCAAAGGAAUUGACGGGGACCCGCACAAGCGGCGGAGCAUGCGGAUUAAUUCGAUGCAACGCGAAGAACCUUACCAAGGCUUGACAUACACCAGAACGGGCCAGAAAUGGUCAACUCUUUGGACACUGGUGAACAGGUGGUGCAUGGUUGUCGUCAGCUCGUGUCGUGAGAUGUUGGGUUAAGUCCCGCAACGAGCGCAACC